rnacentral:rRNA from 1 species
UGUGAAUUGCAGAAUUCCGUGAACCAUCGAAUCUUUGAACGCAUAUUGCGCUCGAGCCCUCGGGCAAGAGCAUGUCUGCCUCAGCGUCGGUUUAUAC